GACGAACCGAGCGAACGUUGUUCGGAAUCACUGGGCUUAAAGGGCGCGUAGGCGGGCAUUCAAGUCUAUGGUGAAAUCCGGCAGCUCAACUGUCGAACUGCCGUGGAUACUGGAUGUCUCGAGGGAGGUAGGGGCGUGCGGAACUAAUGGUGGAGCGGUGAAAUGCGUUGAUAUCAUUAGGAACACCGGUGGCGAAGGCGGUUCUCUGGGCCUUACCUGACGCUGAGGAGCGAAAGCGUGGGGAGCAAACAGG
rnacentral:rRNA from 1 species